UAGGGAAUAUUGGACAAUGGGCGCAAGCCUGAUCCAGCCAUGCCGCGUGAGUGAAGAAGGCCCUCGGGUUGUAAAGCUCUUUUGUCCGGAAAGAAAAGCUUUGGGUUAAUACCCCGAAGUCCUGACGGUACCGGAAGAAUAAGCACCGGCUAACUUCGUGCCAGCAGCCGCGGUAAUACGAAGGGUGCAAGCGUUACUCGGAAUUACUGGGCGUAAAGCGUGCGUAGGUGGUUCGUUAAGUCUGAUGUGAAAGCCCUGGGCUCAAACUGGGAAUGGCAUUGGAUACUGGCGGGCUAGAGUGCGGUAGAGGGCAGUGGAAUUCCCGGUGUAGCAGUGAAAUGCGUAGAGAUCGGGAGGAACAUCUGUGGCGAAGGCGACUGCCUGGACCAGCACUGACACUGAGGCACGAAAGCGUGGGGAGCAAACAGG
rnacentral:rRNA from 1 species